CCUACGGGAGGCAGCAGUAAGGAAUAUUGGGCAAUGGGCGAGAGCCUGAACGAGCCAAGUAGCGUGAAGGAUGACUGCCCUACGGGUGGUAAACUUCGUUUAUAAAGGAAUAAAGGGAGGCACGUGUGCCAUUGUGUAUUUACUUUAUGAAUAAGGAUCGACUAACUACGUGCCAUCAGCCGCGGUAAUACGGAGGAUCCGAGCGUUGUCCGGAUUUAUUGGGUUUAAAGGGAACGUAGGUGGGUUGUUAAGUCAGUUGUGAAAGCUUGCGGCUCAACCGUAAAAGUGCAAUUGAUACUGGCAGUCUUGAGUACAGUUGAGGUAAGUGGAAUUCGUGGUGUAGCGGUGAAAUGCUUAGAUAUCACGAAGAACUCCGAUUGCGAAGGCAGCUUACUAAACUGUCACUGACAUUGAUGCUCGAAAGUGUGGGUAGCAAACAGGAUUAGAUACCCGGGUAGUC
rnacentral:rRNA from 1 species